CCCGGUGGUAUUUCCGGUGGGGCAACACCUGUUCCCAUUCCGAACACAGAAGUUAAGCCCACCAGGGCCGAUGGUACUUGUCGCUAAUUCGCGGUCGGGAGAGUAGGUUGCUGCCGGGG
rfam:Elusimicrobia bacterium RIFOXYD2_FTLL_34_15 rifoxyd2_full_scaffold_157, whole genome shotgun sequence.